rnacentral:lncRNA from 1 species
GUGUUGGUCAACCUACAUGGUCUGUUGGAAAGGCAUCACCCCAAGCCUCCACCACCAAUAAGCAGGAUCAGAGAAUGAAGAGCAUGGAGACGCUCAAAGGGAUCUCCAGAAGAUCAAAAAUGAGAGAGACAACUCCAGGGAAUCCUAGCCAAUUACACUAACAAGGAUUUGAACAACAGGGAAAUCAAAAUUAAGACAUUCAUGCUCAAGAUGCAACAUUACCAGGUGAUGACUGACCUGAAGAGAAUGCCCCAGGACAUCAGUGAGGCCUUGUUCAAGUGCAAGGAGUUGACUAAAGAAAAUCAAUUCUACUUGAAUCUAACCAUCUCCAGCACAAAGUCAGGAUGUUGUGGAAGGAGAACAGACAGUUGCUAGAGGAGCAGAUUGCAUCAGAAGAAUGCUCCAAUGAAUCAAAGAGGCUAUGUAAAGAAGGCAGUCUGAAGACCAAUGACCU